AGUGAACGCUGGCGGUAGGCCUAACACAUGCAAGUCGAACGGCAGCACAGUAAGAGCUUGCUCUUACGGGUGGCGAGUGGCGGACGGGUGAGGAAUACAUCGGAAUCUACUUUUUCGUGGGGGAUAACGUAGGGAAACUUACGCUAAUACCGCAUACGGCCUACGGGUGAAAGCAGGGGAUCUUCGGACCUUGCGCGAUUGAAUGAGCCGAUGUCGGAUUAGCUAGUUGGCGGGGUAAAGGCCCACCAAGGCGACGAUCCGUAGCUGGUCUGAGAGGAUGAUCAGCCACACUGGAACUGAGACACGGUCCAGACUCCUACGGGAGGCAGCAGUGGGGAAUAUUGGACAAUGGGCGAAAGCCUGAUCCAGCCAUACCGCGUGGGUGAAGAAGGCCUUCGGGUUGUAAAGCCCUUUUGUUGGGAAAGAAAAGCAGCAGGUUAAUACCCCGCUGUUCUGGCGGUACCCAAAGAAUAAGCACCGGCUAACUUCGUG
rnacentral:rRNA from 1 species